ensembl:misc_RNA Y_RNA Y RNA
GGCUGAUCCGAGUGCAGUAAUGUUUACAAUUAUUUGAUCACAACCAAUUACUGAUUUCUUUGUUCCUCUCCACUCCCACUGCAUUGAUUGACCUGCCUUAA